UUUGCUCAUUUCAUACACACCCACUUGAUAUUUGGAAAAAAAAUUAGAUUUUCUCUUUUGACCUUGCAACCACACAAUUGCUUCCGAUGAAUAAAAACCUUAAUCUCCCUUUUCUUUUCAACACACAUUCUUCCAUCAGUGGGAUAAAAGAACAAAUGUUCCUUUCCUCUCAUUCUCCUGUAACACAACACAAACUUACAAUUUUGUUUGUAGGAGUAAAACAAUAACCCAUGGCAUUCGCUUAUCUUUGUCGAAAUAGUAUAAUCUCGUCGGAGAAGAAGGAUUUUGAAGGCGAUGGAAAGAAUUUGUGGCGGUUGCAUAAUGGGUCACGUGUGGUGGAGGGCGACGGCAGCGGUUUUGCAUCAUCGGCGAGGAGGUUCUUGUGACAGGUUCGGGUGACGGUGUUGCCGCAGUUUCUGGACAAUCCGUUGUAUGGAGUCAUCGUGGCAGAAGGUUUGCGUGCCGGCGAGAAGGGACCAAAUAAAGAUACAAACAAUUCACACUAUACACAGUAAAAACAAGAUUAGAAAUUACCGAUCCGAAAGUUAUCGGAGGAAGAAUCCACAAAGGUAUGUCUCGCUCUAGUUCUUCUUUUCUCUUGUCCUUCCUCUUUCUUUUGUUAAUGCCUUUUGUUCUUUACUGCGAGGUUGCUUUGGAUUGGUGGCUGGGCUUCACGGAUGGAGAAUAGGGUUUAGUUGUUGUUGUUUUUCAAUGUGAAGAACAACAACUUUAGGGUAAUGAGUUUGUAAUUGUGGAUGAUUGGAAAGUGUAAAUAUGUGUGCUAUUUAUAGAUGGAGAAUUAAGUCACAAAUUGAAUGAGGUUAUUUAUUUUUAGAAAGAUUUUAAUUGA